GCCCUAUAUACGCGGCCAGUUGAAAUGGGAGCGUAGCGUGUCUCUCGAUUUCUCCGUUCCGAACGUUCCUGGAAUCCUCUCUGAAAUAGAUCCACCGAUGAAUGGCCCGCUCGUUUCUAGUAUAUAACAUUUAUCAUCUUCUAGUCUCUGGAUGGUCGUGGUUAAGCUUUCUAAUUUACCUUCGCGGCGACAUUAUAAAAUCAUUUGUGCAUUCCUGCCAAAGUGCGCUUAAUAGUUACAAAUUACUUGGAUAGACUCUGUAGGUUAUGCAGAAAAUAUUAUUUUCAACAGAGAGAGAGAGAGAGAAAGAGAGAUUCAGCAGUUGCGCCUCUUUCGCAAUUUAACGUUUGAAUUAAAAUUGCGCUCGCAUUGAGCGUAUAUCGUUUCAAGGAAAUCGUUCCAAUGCAUCUAUCGCUGCUUCAAUUAUUACCACUGCAUUGUUACACUAGCUUAUUUAGCGAUAAUUGGUACUCCAUAAUACUGUUGCGGAUUGAACAGCCCGUUAUAUAGUUCCAUUUAACUUGCGUAGGCGAGUAAAAAUAUAAUAAAAAAAAUUCAUUGAUUAUGAUUUUAUGAUGAAAUUAAAGGCUUUGAUCAAUUCUUUGUUCGUACGGUGUUUCGAAAAGUAUCGAGUUUGACAAUCCUUGAAAUAAAUUUUAAUUUAAAAAAAAAACAAAGGAAUAAGAGUGACUUUAUCGACCGAGAUUCGAUGUAAAUUUUUUACGUGUUCAAAUUACUUACUCGUUCUUUUCUACAUUGCAAUUUUAUCUGUGUUUUUGAAUAAAAUAUACUAUUAGAAAUACUUUUCUCAAAAAUAUAAGCAUCUGUCUGUGUUAGAAUAUUAUUUUUAACUAUACUAUACUUAAAUAUACACGAUCGUAUAUUUUAAUAAUUUCACAUCGACGUAAUUUUUCACGAAGUUUGAACGCAAAAUUUGAUUACGUAACAUCGUGCGUACCGCCACGAUAAAUCAUUGCAAAAAUUGCACGCAUUAACUUUAAUGUAUACGUGCAAAUAAACAAGUGUAUAUGUUAACUGGUGUCGUCGCCGAUGACAGUUACUAAAUUACCAAUGAUUUCAGAUUCGUUUCGACGUACUUCUUCGACGCUGUGUACGCGUAAAUAAUACGUUUUUAACAAACAAAAUGGGACUCGUCUUUGCCAUUAUUGUCUAUUUCACCAAACUGUGCAUACAUACAUUUACUUCUCACUUUUAACCACGUGAGAAAUAUUUUGUAAAGAUUUUUUAUUUUUCAAACUUUCGGUGCAUGAAAACUUUUUUAAGCGUAUCAAAGCUCGAAGAAUACGAUGGAACAGUUCAACCUAAAAAAAAAAAAAAAGUACGAUUUCUAUAAAACCCGUCAAUUUACCACGAAAUCUCCCCCACUAGGUCCCCAUAAAUGCACAAUGGGACGCAUUGUAUUCCUAAUAACGGAAUCGGCCUCCACCCAUUGUUCAGGAAACAUAAAAGGUUUCUGGAAAUGUGCGAUCUACGAACACACGUUUCUCUGUCGGCCGUUACAGUCGCAUCUUUUAUUAUCGAAAUAAAUUUCAACACGAAAAUCCAAUUAAAAUGAUUUUUAACGUUUCUUAGGCAACGAAAUAUUAAGUGCACAUAUAUAUAUAUUUUUUUUUUCUAUUGAAAUUUAGAGAAAUCAUUUUAGAAAAAAAAUGUAUGUUUAUAAAUAAAAGUUAUUAAGCGGUUGGAGAUAGCGCGAUCGAUAAAUGAACAAACGCGAGAAAAUUGACCAGCGGAUACGAAUGGUCGCGUGAAAGAAACGUCACAUGAUCUACUAGGAUAUAGGCUUCAAACUUAUGACUCACGGCCAGGUGUUGCUCUUUUGGACUACGUGCAUCGUCGAUAGGCAAUAAUUUUUUUUGAAUUGUAAUAAAAUGCAGGGUGGAAAUGCAGGCCGUGUAAUUAUGUACGAUUCUUUUUAUCGCUUUUUCUAAUCGCUUUCGCAAUCGUCGAAAAUAAAAGCAACGAGAAUUUUAAAAAGAGAACGAUCUCCUUAUCAAGAUUGAAACAUAAACGGCAUCAUUAAUCAUUUUUCGUAUAAAUAUAUACAUUUAAAAAUAAUUCUAAUGUUUUUAAAAUUGCUCGUAUCGUUAUUAUUUACAUAACACGAACGUUGUGUUAAUUUUUAAUCACUUAUCCAGCUGAUACUUAUUGCCCGUGUUAAGAUACACGGCGUGCAUAACAACAAGUUUUAUCGUUUAAAAAAACUCGUUUGAAACUCGUUUUAUCGUAAAAAUGAUGUGUAUAAAGAAAAAAGGAAAAAAAGUUUGGUAAUUAAAUUUUUAUUAAAGGCUCGACGAACGUUGAAAAACAUUCUUGUUAGAGUUUAUAUUUAGAGAUGUAUAUUGACGGAUUAAAAAAAAAAUCUUCUUAAGAUAAAUAGAGGCAGAAUUCUUGAAAAGAAGAUUAAGUUUACAGAUAAGAUUUCACCGUUUCCGAUGAAAAUGUCUAAAAAAUAAAUGGCCUCGGGGCAUAUUGGAAUCUAGAGUGAAUCGGAAAGUUUUGCAAAAUGUUUGAAAGGGAGGAGGGACGAAGGGAGUGUAGCGUAUUUUGUUAAGAGAAACUCGUAUUGUACGACCAGCUGGAUUCUUACGGAUUUAUUCUUGGAAUUGAACAAGAAUAACGUGUCUUAGGUACGCGUGGCUCUUUCUCUUUCUCUCUUCGUUUCACUCGCUCGCUCGCUUUCUUUCUCUACUUCUCUCUCUUUUCCUCCUUCUCUUCUUCAUCUCUCUCUCUCUCUCUGUCUCCGUUUUCUUUUUUUUUCUCUCUCAUUCUCGACCAUUCCCUUACCAGAAUUCUGCAUUAAUCGUCGGAUACAAUUAUUAUCUUUAUUUUUUUUUUAUCUUUUCUGGAUAUUCAUAUAGAUCUAAUGCAAGAAGAAGAAAAAGAAAUGAAAAAAGAAUAAAUAAAAUUCGUACGCGAAGAUAAAUCAAAGUAUCUGAAUAUAACGUGUUAUUUAUAGCUCGUAAAAAUAUUCGAUAUAUUUCUUCUAUUUUGAAUCUAUUUUUAUAUAUGUGUUUGGUUUCAAUAGGAGGAUAAAAAUGUGAAUAAACCAAAAAUGUAUAUAACAGACUGCUUUCCUCGGAAGUCAAUUAAAAUUAUCCUCGACAUCGUUGCAUGCAUAAAACACUUGAAUUAAUCGUUGAAUAUCAUUGACACGUGUUAUUUAUAAAAGUUCAAUUCGUUAUUGAAAGAAAGAAUUUUUCGAUAAAAUAAAUAUAUAUAUAUAUACAUGUUUUAUUCAAUUUCAAAAAAAGAAACGAUUCGCUUCGUUCCGACGAAUCGUUUAUAAACAAACGCGUUACGCGGGUUACGUAUAUACGAGAUUAAAAAGAUCGAUAAAUUUUUAAAAAAAUAUGAUACAUUUCCAUUUUCGAGAAAAAUUUACAAUUUUUGUCGAAAUCGAUUUCGUUAUUCGAAAAGAAACUUCUGACCGUAUAACAGUUCGUGAAAUGUUUGCCAAUGUCGAGUAAGCGCGGUGGGGAAGGGAGGAGGGAGUACGUAGUUAGUCUGGCAGCGGCAAUCGAUUGGCAGCCAAGAUCGUACGGCGUCAAAUCGUCGGAAUUCGUGACGUUUCGUCGAGAAGCCCACGGAAAUACGAACUCGUAAGCGAGAACGAUGACGCGAUAGCGCAGACGAGAUCGCACGUAAACCAGUUAAAAGGAAUCCAUUUUUCCGCGAGCCAUGUGCUCCGUCGCGCAUGCGAUAGCGAUAGCUUUAACGGUCUCACCGUUAAUACGUGUUAUUCCCUCUUGUACGAUAAUUGCAUUUAAUUUAAAGUGAUUUGCAUAUAUGGCACAAUUGAUGUAAUAAUAUUUUAUUAAAGAAAUUACUUCUGUGUAUACUAUCGUGGAAUAAAACGCGACGAAUCAAAUUUAUCACACUUUAUUUCUAUUAUUAAAUCAACGAAAGCGUAUCGAGUAUUCGAAAUUACGGCGUGUUACGAUGUAGGAAUCUUUAUGAAAAUUUUUUUUUUCAAUAUUUCAUUUGUAUUUUGUUAUCGUGUUUCGUCUACAAGUUAAAAAAAUUUAUACGAAGAAAUACAUUUCCAAGAAAGAAGUGUUCAAUUUUCUUUCUGUGUUGCACAAUAUUUAUCUGAUCGAGUAUUCCACGAUUUCCCCACCACUCGCAGCAGGAUCACGUGUUUACCCCCACCGCGUUUCUCUACAUAGCAAUUAUAGAUUCAUUCAGUGGUAGCAGCGCCAGUGCUAUCCCGACUCUCGCGUCGAAGGGAUUGAUCUUGUGUCUUUUCGAUAUUGACAAUUCUUUGGACGUAGACGCUGUGCAUUCGUAGAAAAAAACUCUCUUAUUUAUUACCGAAAUAUUUUUGUUUCCAAUUUUUUAAGAUCGAAGAAUUCGAUAGUUUGAUAUAUACUAUAUAUAUAUAUAUAUAUAUA